CAGGCUUAACACAUGCAAGUCGAGGGGCAGCAUGAUUUGUAGCAAUACAGAUUGAUGGCGACCGGCGCACGGGUGAGUAACGCGUAUGCAACUUACCUAUCAGAGGGGGAUAGCCCGGCGAAAGUCGGAUUAAUACCCCAUAAAACAGGGGUCCCGCAUGGGAAUAUUUGUUAAAGAUUCAUCGCUGAUAGAUAGGCAUGCGUUCCAUUAGGCAGUUGGCGGGGUAACGGCCCACCAAACCGACGAUGGAUAGGGGUUCUGAGAGGAAGGUCCCCCACAUUGGUACUGAGACACGGACCAAACUCCUACGGGAGGCAGCAGUGAGGAAUAUUGGUCAAUGGCCGAGAGGCUGAACCAGCCAAGUCGCGUGAAGGAAGAAGGAUCUAUGGUUUGUAAACUUCUUUUAUAGGGGAAUAAAGUGGAGGACGUGUCCUUUUUUGUAUGUACCCUAUGAAUAAGCAUCGGCUAACUCCGUGCCAGCAGCCGCGGCAAUACGGAGGAUGCGAGCGUCAUCCGGAUUUACUGGGUUUAAAGGGUGGUAGGGUGGUGAUUUAAGUCAGCGGUGUAAGUUUGUGGCUCAACCAUAAAAUUGCCGUGAAAACUGGGUUACUUGAGUGUUUUGGAGGUAGGCGGAAUGCGUGGUGUAGCGGUGAAAUGCAUAGAAUAUCACGCAGAACUCCGAUUGCGAAGGCAGCUUACUAAACCAUAACUGACACUGAAGCACGAAAGCGUGGGGAUCAAACAGGAUUAGAUACCCUGGUAGUCCACGCAGUAAACGAUGAUUACUAGGAGUUUGCGAUACAAUGUAAGCUCUACAGCGAAAGCGUUAAGUAAUCCACCUGGGGAGUACGCCGGCAACGGUGAAACUCAAAGGAAUUGACGGGGGCCCGCACAAGCGGAGGAACAUGUGGUUUAAUUCGAUGAUACGCGAGGAACCUUACCCGGGUUUGAACGCAGUCUGACCGGAGUGGAAACACUCUUUCUAGCAAUAGCAGAUUACGAGGUGCUGCAUGGUUGUCGUCAGCUCGUGCCGUGAGGUGUCGGCUUAAGUGCCAUAACGAGCGCAACCCUUAUCACUAGUUACUAACAGGUGAAGCUGAGGACUCUGGUGAGACUGCCAGCGUAAGCUGUGAGGAAGGUGGGGAUGACGUCAAAUCAGCACGGCCCUUGCAUCCGGGGCGACACACGUGUUACAAUGGCAUGGACAAAGGGCAGCUACCUGGUGACAGGAUGCUAAUCUCCAAACCAUGUCUCAGUUCGGAUUGGAGUCUGCAACUCGACUCCGUGAAGCUGGAUUCGCUAGUAAUCGCGCAUCAGCCAUGGCGCGGUGAAUACGUUCCCGGGCCUUGUACACACCGCCCGUCAAGCCAUGGGAGCCGAGGGUACCUGAAGUCCGUAACCGCAAGGAUCGGCCUAGGGUAAAACCGGUGACUG
rnacentral:rRNA from 1 species